rnacentral:rRNA from 1 species
AUUGAACGCUGGCGGCAGGCCUAACACAUGCAAGUCGAGCGCGAAAAUUCCUUCGGGGAUGAGUAGAGCGGCGGACGGGUGAGUAAUGCGCAGAAAUCUGCCCAGUAGUGGGGGACAACCUGGUGAAAACCAGGCUAAUACCGCAUACGCCUACGGGGAAAGGCAGGGAGUCUUCGGACCUUGCGCUAUUGGAUGAGUCUGCGUCGGAUUAGCUUGUUGGUGAGGUAAUGGCUCACCAAGGCGACGAUCCGUAGCUGGUCUGAGAGGAUGAUCAGCCACACUGGAACUGAGACACGGUCCAGACUCCUACGGGAGGCAGCAGUAGGGAAUAUUGGACAAUGGGCGGAAGCCUGAUCCAGCCAUCCCGCGUGUAGGAAUAAAGCCCUAUGGUUGUAAACUACUUUNUUAGG